rnacentral:rRNA from 1 species
UACGUAGGGUGCAAGCGUUGUCCGGAAUUAUUGGGCGUAAAGAGCUCGUAGGCGGUUUGUCGCGUCUGCUGUGAAAACUCGGGGCUUAACCCCGGGCCUGCAGUGGGUACGGGCAGACUAGAGUGCGGUAGGGGAGACUGGAAUUCCUGGUGUAGCGGUGAAAUGCGCAGAUAUCAGGAGGAACACCGAUGGCGAAGGCAGGUCUCUGGGCCAUAACUGACGCUGAGAAGCGAAAGCAUGGGGAGCGAACAGG